UGAGGACUGACUCCCAAAUGGAUAUGCUUUAACCUUUAAGCUUCGUUGAAUUACUAAAAAAUUUUUAACUUCAAUUGUUUUUUAUUACAGAAACAAGAGAUUCAUUGUGGAGAGCGAGGAAAAUAAAGAGACGUUGGAAGGAAAAAUGCAAAUAAUCUCUCCACUAAAGCCUCUUGGCACGGAGGGCCUCUAUUCCACUGAUCUUAAUACAGCUACAGCAAACAGCAGGCACUCAAUGCUUGUUGGAGAAAAAUCCAAUCGAUUUCACUUUGGCAUCAGCUAUUCAGUUGGAAGCAGCUCAAGAAACAUACGGAUAUCAGAGAGGAGGGUGAGUGGCUUUCAAGGUCCAACUAAGGAGGUCACCUGAUCAUUCAGUGUUUGAAAGACACCAGCCAGCCACAGGCAUCCAUCUAACUGACCGGGCCAAUGAAAGACGGUGAGCAAAUAUUCCUGGGAGCUGUAUACGGAGGUAGAGACCCGAUUUCAGGACCAAUACUGCUCAAUACUUAAAGGCCAAUGCCGAAAAAUAAAAUGCAUUAUUCCCCC
rnacentral:lncRNA from 1 species